GGGUGAGUAUCCUAGCUAGCCUUCAAAUACACUGACAAAUAAUCUAACAAGGAUUUCACAUCUAUUCUCAAAACAAAAUGAAGCCCUUCUUUGCUUUCUUCAUAGUCUUCUCUCUUCUCUUGGGUGCUAACCUGAGCUAUGGAAGGAAAGAGUUGGUGAGAGAAUAUUGGAAGAAGAUGAUAAAAGGGCAAAGCAUGCCUGAAGCAAUCAAAGAGAUUCUUGUUGUUGAGGAUCCACAAAUAUCAUCAUCAGAUUCAUCAAGAACCAAGAAUAAUUUCAUUAGGGACUUUGAUAUAAAGCCUAAUGUCAUAUUAUAUCACUCCCACAAGCAGAAGCAAAAGCAUAAGCACAAAAACCCUUUUCUCAACAACAACUUGGAGGAGCCAGAGUUUCAAGAAACAGAAAAUAAAUGAAUAAAAAUCAUUAUUAUUAUUAUUAUUAUUAGAGGGGUAAUAUAUAUAUCUCUAGAGAUUAUCAUAUUAUUGUUGUAUUGGGAAAGUAAUCAAUUAAUCAGUUUAAUUAUAUGGUAUAUUAUUAUUAUUAUUA